rnacentral:rRNA from 1 species
CUACUAGGGUUUCUAAUCCUGUUUGCUACCCACGCUUUCGAACCUCAGUGUCAGUAUGAUGCCAGGAAGCUGCCUUCGCCAUCGGUAUUCCUCCAGAUCUCUACGCAUUUCACCGCUACACCUGGAAUUCUACUUCCCUCUCACCUACUCUAGUCACCCAGUAUCAGAUGCAGUUCCCAGGUUAAGCCCGGGGAUUUCACAUCUGACUUAAAUGACCACCUACGCUCGCUUUACGCCCAGUAAUUCCGAUUAACGCUUGCACCCUCUGUAUUACCGCGGCUGCUGGCAC